AGGACGAACGCUGGCGGCGUGCUUAACACAUGCAAGUCGAGCGGAAAGGCCCUUCGGGGUACUCGAGCGGCGAACGGGUGAGUAACACGUGAGCAAUCUGCCCCUAGCUCUGGGAUAGCUCCGGGAAAACCGGGAUUAAUACCAGAUACAACCACUUUAGACAUCUUUUGUGGUGGAAAGGAUUCCGGCUAGGGAUGAGCUCGCGGCCUAUCAGCUUGUUGGUUGGGGUAACGGCCCACCAAGGCGACGACGGGUAGCCGGCCUGAGAGGGCGACCGGCCACACUGGGACUGAGACACGGCCCAGACUCCUACGGGAGGCAGCAGUGGGGAAUAUUGCGCAAUGGGCGAAAGCCUGACGCAGCGACGCCGCGUGGGGGAUGAAGGCCUUCGGGUUGUAACCCCUUUCAGCAGGGACGAAGCGAAAGUGACGGUACCUGCAGAAGAAGCGCCGGCUAACUACGUGCCAGCAGCCGC
rnacentral:rRNA from 1 species